rnacentral:rRNA from 1 species
UACGAAGGGUGCAAGCGUUAAUCGGAAUUACUGGGCGUAAAGCGUGCGCAGGCGGUUCGGAAAGAGAGGUGUGAAAUCCCAGGGCUUAACCUUGGAACUGCACUUCUAACUACCGGGCUAGAGUACGUCAGAGGGGGGUAGAAUUCCACGUGUAGCAGUGAAAUGCGUAGAGAUCGGGAGGAACACCAGUGGCGAAGGCGGCCUUCUGGACCAAUACUGACGCUCAUGCACGAAAGCGUGGGGAGCAAACAGG